UACGUAGGCAGCGAGCGUUGUUCGGAGUUACUGGGCGUAAAGAGUGUGUAGGCGGUGUUCUAAGUCUGUUGUGAAAUCUCCCGGCUUAACUGGGAGGGUGCGGCGGAAACUGGAAUGCUAGAGGAUGGGAGAGGUAAGCGGAAUUCCUGGUGUAGCGGUGAAAUGCGUAGAUAUCAGGAGGAACACCUGUGGUGUAGACAGCUUACUGGACCAUUUCUGACGCUGAGACACGAAAGCGUGGGUAGCAAACAGG
rnacentral:rRNA from 1 species